rnacentral:rRNA from 1 species
GGCAGGCCUAACACAUGCAAGUCGAGCGGUAGAGAGAAGCUUGCUUCUCUUGAGAGCGGCGGACGGGUGAGUAAUGCCUAGGAAUCUGCCUGGUAGUGGGGGAUAACGUUCGGAAACGGACGCUAAUACCGCAUACGUCCUACGGGAGAAAGCAGGGGACCUUCGGGCCUUGCGCUAUCAGAUGAGCCUAGGUCGGAUUAGCUAGUUGGUGGGGUAAUGGCUCACCAAGGCGACGAUCCGUAACUGGUCUGAGAGGAUGAUCAGUCACACCGGAACUGAGACACGGUCCGGACUCCUACGGGAGGCAGCAGUGGGGAAUAUUGGACAAUGGGCGAAAGCCUAAUCCAGCAAUACCGCGUGUGUGAAGAAG